rnacentral:rRNA from 1 species
GUGGGGAAUAUUGGGCAAUGGGCGAAAGCCUGACCCAGCAACGCCGCGUGAAGGAAGAAGGUUUUCGGAUCGUAAACUUCUAUCCUUGGUGAAGAUAAUGACGGUAGCCAAGAAGGAAGCCCCGGCUAACUACGUGCCAGCAGCCGCGGUAAUACGUAGGGGGCAAGCGUUGUCCGGAAUGAUUGGGCGUAAAGGGCGCGUAGGCGUCCUGGUAAGUCUGGAGUGAAAGUCCUGCGUUUCAGGUGGGAAUUGCUUUGGAUACUGUCGGGCUUGAGUGCAGGAGAGGUAAGCGGAAUUCCAGGUGUAGCGGUGAAAUGCGUAGAGAUCGGGAGGAACACCAGUGGCGAAGGCGGCUUACUGGACUGUAACUGACGCUGAGGCGCGAAAGUGUGGGGAGCAAACAGGAUUAGAUACCCGGGUAGUCC